UAGGAAAGGCCCUUGAGCUUGUCCUCACGAGUAAGGAAACCAAAAGCUCUCUCACGAAAGCAAUGAUCACACAUGCCCCACCACUCUGUGACCUCAGCACAGUCACCUUAGAAAGCCUCACAGUCCCCUCAGUGCCAUUCCACACUCAGCACAGGAAGAGGGUGUGAUGAGCCAUGACAGCCACUGCCAGGUGUCACCUUCCACUUGGGCUCCAGCUGCAGGAGAGGGACAGACCCAGGAGAUGGAAAGAGAGAUCUCUGGCUACACGCAGAGAAAAGGCAGAGAGUCAGGACUGAUUGCUCCUCACCCCUCAGACCUUCCCUUUGCAUCAUACAUGACACAAAGUCUCUCCUCGCCACCCUCUGGGGGUGGCACACUUGAGAGGGAAUGCUUUUAGACUUUGAAAACCUCCCAGAAAGAUGGACAGACAGCCUGUCAUACCAACAGUAAGAUCCUGCAGGGAACAGGACCAGCCAUGGACCUGACCCUACCUUCCUGCCAAAUUCCCAGGCAGAAGGUGGCCAAGACGAAAGCUCCCAUCUCAACUGUUUCUGCCUCUACUUGCUCCAGCUCUGGAGCUGGUCCCCUCUGCAAGCUGAGACGCGUGCCUGGGCUCAGACACCAGCGCCUCCCCAGAGAAAGCAUGUUGCUGCCGCAGUCCACGAGCUUCUGUGCCACUGCCCAGGCCAAGGACUAAGAUAGAGCCCCCCAUUCAGGCCAGGAGGCUCAUUAAAAAUGAGAAAAUUAACCCUAUAUUGCUCUACACAAGGAGAAAUCUUUGUGGUUUUUGUCUUGCUCUGCUACAUUUUUCUUGUGCUCCUGCAGCC